AUCUAAGGCCUUGAGCCUAUAAUAGAAAGAGUUAUUAAUAUUAAAGUGAUGAGCUGGCAGAAUUAUUUGCAUACUGGA